rnacentral:rRNA from 1 species
UACGAAGGGGGCUAGCGUUGCUCGGAAUCACUGGGCGUAAAGCGCACGUAGGCGGACUAUUAAGUCAGGGGUGAAAUCCCGGGGCUCAACCCCGGAACUGCCUUUGAUACUGGUAGUCUUGAGUUCGAGAGAGGUGAGUGGAAUUCCGAGUGUAGAGGUGAAAUUCGUAGAUAUUCGGAGGAACACCAGUGGCGAAGGCGGCUCACUGGCUCGAUACUGACGCUGAGGUGCGAAAGCGUGGGGAGCAAACAGG